UACGAAGGGUGCAAGCGUUGUUCGGAAUUACUGGGCGUAAAGGGUGCGUAGGCGGUCUUGCAAGUCAGAUGUGAAAGCCCCGGGCUCAACCUGGGAACUGCAUUUGAAACUGCAAGGCUUGAGUAUGGGAGAGGUAAGUGGAAUUCCGAGUGUAGAGGUGAAAUUCGUAGAUAUUCGGAAGAACAUCAAUGGCGAAGGCAGCUUACUGGACCAUAACUGACGCUGAGGCACGAAAGCGUGGGGAGCAAACAGG
rnacentral:rRNA from 1 species